AGUGAACGCUGGCGGUAGGCCUAACACAUGCAAGUCGAACGGCAGCACAGUAAGAGCUUGCUCUUACGGGUGGCGAGUGGCGGACGGGUGAGGAAUACAUCGGAAUCUACUUUUUCGUGGGUGAUAACGUAGGGAAACUUACGCUAAUACCGCAUACGACCUACUGGUGAAAGCAGGGGAUCUUCGGACCUUGCGCGAUUGAAUGAGCCGAUGUCGGAUUAGCUAGUUGGCGGGGUAAAGGCCCACCAAGGCGACGAUCCGUAGCUGGUCUGAGAGGAUGAUCAGCCACACUGGAACUGAGACACGGUCCAGACCCCUACGGGAGGCAGCAGUGGGGAAUAUUGGACAAGGGGCGCAAGCCUGAUCCAGACAUACCGCGUGGGUGAAGAAGGCCUUCGGGUUGUAAAGCCCUUUUGUUGGGAAAGAAAAGCAGCAGGUUAAUACCCCGCUGUUCGGACGGGACCCAAAGAAGAAGCACCGGCUAACUUCGU
rnacentral:rRNA from 1 species